rnacentral:rRNA from 1 species
UACAGAGGUCCCAAGCGUUGUUCGGAUUCAUUGGGCGUAAAGGGUGCGUAGGUGGCGCCGUAAGUCGGGUGUGAAAUUUCGGAGCUUAACUCCGAAACUGCAUUCGAUACUGCGGUGCUUGAGGACUGGAGAGGAGACUGGAAUUCAUGGUGGAGCGGUGAAAUGCGUUGAUAUCAUCAGGAACACCGGAGGCGAAGGCGGCUUACUGGGGCCUUUCUGACGCUGAGGAACGAAAGCCAGGGGAGCGAACGGG